UUAAGUGUAAAUAUAAAUAUAUAUAUAUUUAUAUAUUAAAUAGUUUUAUUAAAUUAAUUAAAGAAAAGAAAGAAAAGAAAGGACAAAAAGAAGAAAAGGAGAAGAAAAUUUCAUUUUCUCUUUUCUUCUUCUUCUUCUCUUCCCUUCACCGCCAAGAUUUUGAAGACAUCCAAGUUCCCUUUAUUUUUUUUCUUUUUCCUUCUUUAAUUUGCAGAGAACUUCUAAGAGAGAGUUUGGAAGAAGAAGAGAAAUUUUACUAGAAUUUUUAGGUUGAAGAAGAGGAGGAGAACUCAAGCAAAGUGUAUCAAUGGCUGAAUUUUAGUUCAUUCUGCACAUCAUUGGUUUUUAAUUCGGUUUGAACUCUUCAAAAGGAAUUAAGAGGGCAGUUGGUUUUCACUCGAAAUCAGAAGGUCUCUGGUUUUUCUUGUAUUUCAGAGUGUACCGGGACAAGUUAAAGAGGUCGUGUGCGCGUGAUUCUGGAAGUGGUUCUGUUUUGAGGGUUAUCUGAGUUUAUGCACGGGGAAUCAGAUUUAUAUAUCUUCAGGCCGAGAAGAAUUAAACCGAGCUUAUAGACCAAGGAUCUAGCCCAAGACUGUGAGUGACAAAACAACUUUGAAAUAUAAUCCAUAACUGUUAUUAUGAUUGAAUGCGAUAAAUGUUUACUUAGAAAGCUAUGAAAGGUAUUUGAAUUUCAUGACUAUUUUCAAGUAUACAUUUGGAGACUAGAUUUCUUAAAGAAAUUUAUGCUAGCACGUAGAUAUUAAAUGUUUGGAAAGUAUUUAAACCACAAUAUUUUAAGAAAAGCAUGAAUUAGUAUGAAGUUUUGUUUUAAGAACUACAAUUUUCCACGAAAGAGCUGAGUAAAGUUCGAGCUUUGUGUAAAAUUUAUAAGCAGGCAUGUUUUAAUAUUUUAUGAUGAUUUAUGAAAUUUUCAUUAACUACAUGACUGAGAUCUUGAGCCUGAGGCUAGAGAUUACCGUGUGCACACUGGUUAGAUUUCGUUGUUGACGUUGAGUGUACUCCGUAACAACGAUGCUGUCGUGAGUGCUGGGCGGGCCCCACUACGACAAAGACGAUGGGAGUGCUGGGCGGGCCCCACUACAUCGUAGUGCUUGUAAACGUUGUUGUACUAGGUGUACCCUACACAACGUAGAUUCGUCAUGUUAGUUAAAAUGCUUCGAUAUACUUGAUAUGCCUUGCUAGAUUUCAAUGAUGAACAUGCUGAGUAUUUAAGGAAGCUAUUCUUACUAUUACACAUUUACAUUUACGACUUGUAUAAACAGAUUUAUAUGUGUAAAGUUUUCACGUGCUCUUAUCUUUUAAACUGAGUCACUCACUGAGCUUCAUAGCUCACCCUUUCCAAAAUGUUUUACCCAUUUUCCAAGUAGAGAUCGACUUCCCGGUGCCUGAUAGACUACCUUAGUCUGCGGAAGCUUCAUUAUCGAUUGCCAGUACGUGUUUUGAGUUAGGCAUAGAGUCUGUUGUGUUGUGGUGUAUAUACACCCUUGUAUGUUAUAGAUACUCCACAGUUUGUAUAAGCUUUAGGAGCUGUAGUUGUGUAAAUUUUGUUGGUUAUAUUUUGAUUAAGGUGUCUUUAGGUUUACUCGUGAAAUCGGUAAAUUUUGAGGUACACUUCAUGUAUGUGUUUGACUAGCUGUGUUUGACUAGCCUAGGAUCCGCUGUGUUUUGUGGCAUGUACAAUAGUUUAUAUACUAGAUUGGCAAGUUCA